rnacentral:tRNA from 1 species
GGGUUUAGCUCAGAGGUACAAGUGCCUGCCUGGCAAGCAGGAGGUCAUGAGUUCGAUCCUCUGUACCCA